rnacentral:lncRNA from 1 species
UUCCAUUAGCUUCUCUACUGCUGUGAUGAUUGUGGCUGUGAGGCAUGAGUAUUACCUGAACUUUCUAUGACCUAAUCAAGCUCAGUUUCCCUCCCCACCUCCUUUUUUUCCUUCUCUUCUACUUUUUUUUCUUAAUUGAGCCCACUUUAAAGGAUAAGACAAUGAGU